rnacentral:rRNA from 1 species
AGUAACGCGUGGGUAACCUGCCCUUAAGUCUGGGAUACCAUUUGGAAACAGAUGCUAAUACCGGAUAAAAGCUACUUUCGCAUGAAAGAAGUUUAAAAGGCGGCGUAAGCUGUCGCUAAAGGAUGGACCUGCGAUGCAUUAGCUAGUUGGUAAGGUAACGGCUUACCAAGGCGAUGAUGCAUAGCCGAGUUGAGAGACUGAUCGGCCACAUUGGGACUGAGACACGGCCCAAACUCCUACGGGAGGCAGCAGCU